rnacentral:lncRNA from 1 species
GGGGUGCUGAGGCUAUUUUUGAUGUUUCCAGCUGUGUAAAUGAGUAUUUGCAUGGUUUUGUAAUGGUAGGCAGGAGCCAAUUGCAGCUCAGAGACCAAAGAACAACUACAAUGUUUUCAUCACUUCAGUCACCUGCACCAUACUUAGGCAAAUUAAUGAGCCAGCAUUGACUGAAAGCCUCGCCCUGCUGAAGUCAAGAUCAAGGCAGCUCACCUCCAACAGGUUCAGGGUUUCUUUAGCAAUAAGGCCCACCUGCCUGCUUAAUAGCAACUCCAGUUCACAGCCCUGUGCUCAAACCUGGUAAACAUUAAGUAGACCAGUGUGCAGCCCACAUCAAGCAGCCCACACAGACCCAGCAGGACCCUUAGCCCUGGCCAUCUCCUGGUGAGCAGCACUCAACACCUCUUGGCUGCAAGCAGGCUGAGCUCUGUAAAUCCUUUAUCCCCAGGGAUGGAGGAAACUCCAUCUCCUGGGGCAUGAGCACAUUUCUAAGCAGUGUUCUGCCAGAAGGACUUGGCAGGGAUGCCCAGGGCUGGCUGAGGAGCAAGCCAGCAUGCUGUGAUGCAUAUCCCAGGCUCACUCCUCAGUCCUGAAUAUUCAUCCUGGGUCAAAUCAUGUACUUGUGAGAGCCUAAAGUUACACCAGGGGAGAUUCAGCAUGCAUCAGGAACUACACAGACUCCUGUGUUUGUGCACAGACCUGAAUAAUGCUGGGCUCUGAAUAUCUACAUCUCGAUACGUCUGGACAUUAGCAGCUUGGACCUUCUUGGCCUUUGGGUCGCUGGAGACAGAUUCUGCCCAAAGGGAGCUGGAAGCAUGCAAAAAAUCCUGGCUGAGGGGAACGGGAGAAAAAUGAAGAGAAAAUGCCUCUGGUGGCAGCCCCUCUGCUUGCAGUACAGCAGAUGGUGGAAAGUUAUGAGACAGCAGCUCCUUGAGGCAUAGCAUAAGCCCAGAAACAAUAAAAGGAAGAAAGGAAGGAAAGAAAAGUGAAUU